GCAAAAUGAGAGGAGAGAGGAGGAGCGUGUGUUUCUUUGGUUCGCUUUGGUUCGCAUUUCUCUCUCUCGAAGACAAGCAAAUCAAUGGUGGCUUCUAGCGAGUCUGGAGCUCCGGAGCAAAUCGUCUCCCACCACCACAAAGAAUCCAUCGUGCCAAGAAGAGUGAUUUCUAUUGAGAGUGAGGAGUCGUCCGAUCAUUGAAGAUAGUAAUCUGAGCGAGCCUGAAGACGAGAGGAGAGUUCAGUAAUUCAAGUUUGUUUUUAGAGAUCCGUAUUAGAAGAGCUCUCUGCCUCGCUUUGUGCUUGAGUUCAGCUGCUUAACUGAUUCUGAGCAUAGGCUUGUUUAGUUCCUGUAAAACGAAAUACAUGUGGGAUGAGUUUUUUGCUUCUAUCCUUUUGUUCGUUAUGGAGGUCGUAGUGCGGACCUCCCGACCAGUCUUUUGGUUCGCAAUCUACGCCAUGACUGCAGGUAUAUGUGGAUUAGUUUUUUGAAUUUAGCACCUGUUUAGACUUGUACUUUUUAGUCGCUUAAGGAGAAGGAUCAAGGAUGCAAUGUUGCUUGAUAUGUUUCAUGUGUGUGUUAAUUGAAGUUGUUGAGGUUUAGCAGUGAAUCUAAAGAAUUGAAGACAUGAAUUAGAGUUUUUAUGAAGAUGUUGUGUAUGGUAGUGAAAGAGUUUUGAAGUAAAGUUGAGUUCAAUAAAAAAAAUGUUUGAUAAUUUUUUUUUAA